rnacentral:ncRNA from 1 species
CUAUGGUAAUUCGUUGCUUUAGGAGAGUUAAACGUUUUUGGUGUUAGUGAUUUUUGAAUCUGACUAUAUGCUGGAAAAACUCAGUAUCCGACAGUACCAGUUAGAAGUGAGAAGUUAGAUGUAAGAAGAUGGAAAAAAGAAGUGAGAGGUGAGAUUUUUUAGUCCCACAUCCUAUUUCUAAAUCUACAUUCCCAUCGCACACUUCGCACAUCAAAUAUGGUGACAAUCUGUUCGGUGGAGUAAAUCAGCAGGGAAGAUUACAGCCUACCGCUGUAGAACCCUCAGAGACUAUACGUCAGACCUACUCUUUUUAACUUAAAGAAUUAGGAAGAUAUAGUCCGAACUGCUAAGCGAUUAGCAG